UUUGGUUUGGAUUUUGUUUUCUCCCCUUCAUUUUCACUGUGUGCCAGGCAGGUGAGGCUCCCAGCUGUUACUCAUCAGCCACAAUCAAGCAAGCAGUAUUUAGAGGAGUGGAUUCCCUGAGGCAGACGACAGAUGGUUACCUAUACCAGUGUUUUCCUCCUGCUGAAGGCUGGCUCCUUUUCCUCCCUCAACGGUGCUUUCCACUCCUCCCCAAGAGCUGUUUUUCAAGAUCUGCAAAAGCUGAACUCGCCUGCCUGUCCACCCUCCAACGCCUAAAGAAACUGGUAACUCCAAGGUCUUCAUUCCCCCCUCUCUGUGGACACUGUUGCUCCCCCUCAACCUGUUUCCAAGCCCUGAGAAUGAGACACCGCUCUGGAUUUUCCUGUUUUCUCUGCUUCCAGUCUGAACAAUAAAAAC